rnacentral:lncRNA from 1 species
AUCUUCUUUUAGCUUGAUAUUUUCAGCAAUUAGAUUCUUGGUUUCAUUUGUGAACCUCCUACUUAAUGUUUCAUAGUUGUUAGAUAGUUUCAGCUUAUCUUUGAUAAGAGAUUGAUUUUCAUCUUUUAGAACUUUAUUUUUAUGAAUUAGCUUCUUGUGUUCUUCCAUCAGUUCUAAAAAUGCAUCAUGUAACUCUUCUACCGAAAAAUCACAUUCAAGUUUCGAAUCUACCUCAUCGUCAUUGGCCAUGUAGCAGAUUUGAGCCGUCCCUUGUUGAUCUUCCUCUUCUGAACUUGACUCUUCGCUUUCACUCUAUUCAGCCAUGAGGUUCCUCUUUUUAAGUUUUCUUGCCAUCCAUUUCAAUUCCAGGCAAUCUAUCUUGAAGUGCCCGGGCUUGUUACACUCAUAGCAUAUUGGCACUUCUUUUU